rnacentral:rRNA from 1 species
UACGUAGGGUCCGAGCGUUGUUCGGAAUUACUGGGCGUAAAGGGCGCGUAGGCGGCCUGUUAAGUCGAACGUGAAAUCCCUGGGCUCAACCCAGGAACUGCGUCCGAUACUGGCAGGCUUGAAUUCGGGAGAGGGAUGUGGAAUUCCAGGUGUAGCGGUGAAAUGCGUAGAAAUCUGGAGGAACACCGGUGGCGAAGGCGGCAUCCUGGACCGGUAUUGACGCUGAGGCGCGAAAGCUAGGGGAGCAAACGGG